rnacentral:lncRNA from 1 species
UUGACUCUAGGAGCUGCACACAUGUGCACAGCUGGCAGCAGCUGCAGCUGCUUCACACAAGCCAUCAGGCUGCCACCAUGGCUAUCUACAGGGACUCAAGCUACAGGAAGCCAGUGCCCAACAUUCUAGGUUCCCCACUAAAGUGCAACAUGCCUCUUCUAAAGUAGGGGUGCAGAGAAACGUUCCCAUCCCCGUCCUAGGUUUCUAGUCUGCACUGGGCAGCUGGGCCACUGAAUGGCAUGUGCCUCAGGAAGAACAUGUCUUUGAACAGUCAGAAUCUCUGAGACUGGCAGUGACGGUGGGUGCCUAACAGGCCUGUGGUGCAGCCUCAUCCCUCUGGCUCCUUUCCCAGGACUCUGCAGGCAGGAGGAGGCCAAACAGAUGGGACAGGACACGGCCAGCCAUAGCGUGACCUCCAACACCAUUGCUGGUCUUGUUCCAGUCUGCUCUCCUUGUUCCAGUGCUCUUCUAAAGCCCACUGGUGAGGAAGAGGUACACUCAGGCCUUCUCAAGUGUGAGAAUAAAGGCUGGCGGGAAUUGCAGGAGCCCCUCCGCAUUGCUGAGUUGCUAAAGCCCACUCUGACUUCUCCAUCUUAAAUGUCCGGUAGUAACACUGACAGCAAAGAUCCUGACCUACCAAACGGGACCUUCCAGGCAGAGAGGUGGCUCACCCAAGCCCACAGAUGCCAUGAGGGUGGAGAACAAAGAAUGCUGGUCUGCAAAGAAGGAAGGGAGAAGGUAUGCGUUAACUGCCAUGAUUCAACUGAGCAUGUCUCACAGGGCUUCCACACCAUCCCUAUCCGAGGCUUUUCCAAGGAUGGCACUGUGCACAUGGAUGUGCACACAGUAGGCAUUUUAUACUAUUUUUUGAGUAAAUGAAUUGGAGGAGGGAAUGCGUGUGCAUUAAGACAAACUCAGUUGUGCCAAAAGAAGUUUCUAGGUAGGUACAAGGCUGUACCUUGAGAGUAAAGCUGAGGAGGUGGGCAGUGGGUCACAUACUCUAGCAACCCCUGGUCAACAGCAGCUUGGGGCAAGGGGUUGGGAGCAGAGAGCACUGUGGGUGAUGCUCAGGAGGAAUCGGCCUGGCCCUCCAGGACAGCUUCUGAGGAACAAAACUGCAGGCAGUGACAAGAGGGCCCUACAAAUUAAGCCCUCUUUUCUUCAGUCAGACAUUUAGCCUACCAAUGUAGCAUGGGAAGAUCAAAGGACUUAAAGAAGAGUGAGCACGGUGACCACUNUGAACAUCCUUCUCCUGUCAACUAAAAGCAGUGCAGGUGAGACAGGCAACAGGCUGAGAGCUAAGCUGCACGAAGCCGGCCUGUACCUGGGGCUCAUGAUGGUAAACAGGAGGGCAGCGCCGGCGCAGAGGGGAGUACUCGUUCUUCUCUUUGUCCCUGGUCACCUCCUCCCUCCCUCUGUAACCCUCUGAGGAGAAGCACUCGUGCUAAAGCUUCAGCUCCAAGCUCCCAGAGCAUGGAAUCUGAGUGGGCUCCAGAUGAGCUGAGUGGCUUCUGGCUUCCUGUUCCUGGAAGGGCAGAGUGCAGCUCGCAGCUCUCUACUGCUGAUGCCAAGGGCAGUUCUUCAUGGAGACCAGGGAGACUUGAGCAGGCAACAUUCAAAGCAGCUGGCAGAGUCUGGUGUGGAGGUGGCUCAGACACCUGUCCCUCAGGUUCUCCUCUCUGGCUCCUUGGUCACCCUCCUUGUCAGGAGCACAUCAGGAGGACUCUUCCAGGGCAUUCACCACUUGUUCCAGAAUGUCAGGGCAGUGAUCGGCUAUCUGCUGGAGAAUGGUGUUGGCAAACUCCUGCAGCUCCGCGUUGUCCCCUUCAACUUUCUCCAACUCGUUCUGAAGCUGAAAGGGAAAAGAGGCAGGGUUCAGGUUAUUUGUACCGAGUGGGAAUUCAUCAGGAAAGAAAUGACAAGCAGAGUUGAUGUCCCUGUAUCAAAAGGAAUGUUCAAAACACACACAUUCCUAGACUCUCUUCAUGAAAGUAAGGCCCAGAGGAGUCAGUGCUGAGUCCAAGGCUGCACACUGUAACGUCCAGUGCUGACUUCAUGUGGAUGGCUGUGCCCAGGUGUCCAGACUCACAGGCCUGGGCGAUUGAGGAUCUCAACUUUGUGUGAAGCUCCUCCACAAAGAUUCCCCUUUGCUACACACAGCUGUGUUUCUGCAGGGGCCUCAGAUGGCUUGGUUAUUCUGAUAGAUAUCCUAGCCCACUGCUGAGGAGAGACCUCCCCCCCCAUGUGCUGUUCUCAGUCGCCCCGGACUGUGCUCCCCUAACUAGCGUCACCAGUGCCCUGUGUGAGGUCUGAAAGGCCGAGGAGCGAGUCCCUGUGCUGAAACUCCUUGUAGGCUGACAUCAGGACAAGAACAUCAACAUGUAACUCACAACCCAGGCCAGUGCAUACAGAGGCUUGAGGAUCUGGGUCACUUGGGAGAUCAGAGGCAGAUCAAAGAAACCUCAGGUAAGCUGGAUCCUGCAGUGAGGUGGGGGUGGGGGUGGGGGUAUGGAGUUGAAGAGAUAGGCAAGGGCCAGACUCCAAGAGAAGCUAGAGCGCAAGCCCCAACUGGUGCAAACUACAAGGAAAUCAUGUGCUUUUAAACGACACACUGACCCUGCUUUCGUCUUCUUAGAAGGUGACUUGGAAGGUAAGGAAAAAGCAGAUCAAUGGGCAGCAGGCGACACCCAGGGGUGAGCUUUGUAAGCACAAGGCAGAGUCACACAGGGGACAGAAGAGGCACCCACGAGAACAGAAACCACCUGUGAUGGGCUAGCCUCAGAAUGAGGGGGUAACAUGGCUCUCAAAUUCUAAAAUAUUUUGUAGAAGAGCUGCUGAAAACUGAGUGUCNAGUAUACAGUUCAGGUCCCAGGUUAGAACACAGCCUGGAUCUCAGUGUCAGCUCUGCCAUUUAUUGGCUGAUGUGACCCUGACCUCCCUCCCCUUCAGUAGGAUAGACCAGUAAUAUUUUCACAGGGCAGUUUUAGAGGAUUUAAUGACAAUCUCAUACGAAAGGCAGGGUAAUGCCCACUGCACUGAAAAUUCUUGAAAAAAGGUUAACUACUGUAAUUACUGUUAUCAAGCAGAGAAGAUGAUCCAGAAAAAGUAGAUUAAGUGGCAAAGAGAACCAAGUUUUCAGGACCCCACUGUUUGUUGACUAGACAUUCUGAGCCAUGAAUGAGCUUGGUACUUCUUAAGUGCAGCCAUCAGGGGGNGACUGGCAAUCUUUCUGCUGACUGUUGACCCUGAUCUGGAGGCUCAAGGACCAUAUUUAGACCACGNUAAGCCUUAGUGCAUCUUUAAAAGAUUCAAGGCAGGAGUUAAACUAAUCCAUUUUCACCUAGCAAUAUACUGUGCUUCCAAAUCAAAUCUCCAAAGCUGGCACAUAACUGACCCUGGGGAUGGGCUCUAGGGCCCGGUGCAUGCUGGGCAAACACUACGGCUGAGCUGUGAAUCCAGCAUCCACAAGGAUAUGUUAAAGAAGAAAGUAAAAACACUAUAAAACACACUAGCUAGAGGGCACUACAUUAGUAUCAUAGUAUCCACUGUACUUUGUAUUAGUCCCCCCCCCCCCAUCAGGGACAAAAAUACCUGACACAAACCACUUUAAAGGAGGAGUGACUUGUUUCAGCUCAUGGUUUUAGAGGGCUUGAUCUAUAGUCAGGUGCUAAGGGCUUGGCACCAGAUGGGAGCAUUACUGAGAUGGCUGAACCUUUAAGGGGUCCAAAGUUUUAGGCUCCUAGGAGGAGCUGUGCCUUUGCAGGGGACUGUGGGACUUUGGGCUGACCUUUCUUUGUGUGUGUGUGUGUGUGUGUGUGUGUGUGUGUGUACUCCAGCCACAACAUGAGCACUAGCUGCCCUGCUACAGGUCCAACAGCAAUAUGGCAACUGCUCGUGAGUGCAACCUCUGAAGCAGAGACCAGCAUGCCUCCUCUCUCUGUGAGAUGACAGGCUCCGACAGUUGUUACNGGGAGGGAGCUGGCACACAUCCUCUAUUUAAUGGAAUGGCAAACCAACUUCCUUACUGUAAAUAUUACAGUGAAAAAUAC